rnacentral:misc_RNA from 1 species
AAGUCGUAACAAGGUAACCGUAGGUGAACCUGCGGUUGGAUCAUUAUUGAAAUUUUAUAACAAAAGGGAAGGAAAAGUUUGAAAACUUUAUUGUUUUACCACAGUAGGGGAUUUGGCUUUACCUUUUCUUUUCAACCCCAAACCUUGUGAAAUUGAUAUACUUGUCUUUGGAGUCACUUGAUGUUAUUAUAGAAAUUUUUAUUGGUUUCUAUUAUUUACAUAGAUGAGAACUCCUACUUAUUGAUAUAAACAUUUAUUAUUAACCAUUUUCUAUUAAACUUUGUUUAAUACGAAGCCAAAAUUUUGUAUUGAAUCAAGUGAUUUUUUAAAACAACUUUUAAAAAAAAACUUUUGACAAUGGAUCUCUUGGCUCUC